rnacentral:rRNA from 1 species
GGUGUGUCUGUCUGCAUUUCUGUGCUGUCUGGUUAUUUCCGAUAACGAACGAGGCCCUUAACAUGCUAAUUAGUCGUCCCCCAAUUUAUGGGAUAAUGACUUCAUAGAGGGGACUAUGCAUAAUCAAGUGCAUGGAAGUUUGAAAGAGAGAGCGAGAGAUGAAAUGGCCUUUAUAUGUCCUGGGCUGCACGCGUGCUACACUGAUGCAUACAACAAGUGCCUAGCUAGACAUAGUAUGGCAAUCUGGAAUAUGCAUCGUGAUGGGGAUAGAUCUUUGCAAUUAUAGAUCCUGCCCGAGGAAAUCCUAGUAUGUUCAAGUCAUCAUCUUGCAUUGAUUAUGUUCUUGCCCUUUUACACCCCCCGUCGCUCCUACCGAUCCCGGGUGAUCCGGUGAACCUUG